GUACUCGCUUUGGCAGCACAUAUACUAAAAUUGGAACGAUACACAGAAGAUUAGCAUGGACCCUGCGCAAGGAUGACAUGCAAAGAAGACAUCCGGAUGGCCAAUAG